CGCGGGAUGGAGCAGCCUGGUAGCUCGUCGGGCUCAUAACCCGAAGGUCGUCGGUUCAAAUCCGGCUCCCGCAACCA
rnacentral:tRNA from 783 species